rnacentral:rRNA from 1 species
UACGUAGGGUGCAAGCGUUGUCCGGAAUUAUUGGGCGUAAAGAGCUUGUAGGCGGUUUGUCGCGUCUGCUGUGAAAUUUCGGGGCUCAACCCCGAACUUGCAGUGGGUACGGGCAGACUAGAGUGUGGUAGGGGAGACUGGAAUUCCUGGUGUAGCGGUGAAAUUCGUAGAUAUCGGGAGGAACACCGGUGGCGAAGGCGGCGACCUGGGUCGAUACUGACGCUGAGGUGCGAAAGCGUGGGGAGCAAACAGG